UACUUAUCCAGAGAGGUUGAGGGACUGGCCCUUUGAUGCCUCAGCAACCAGCCACAUUUGGCACGGUGCUAACUCCAGCAGGUUUACUUUAACCUGAGCGAUAAGGA
rnacentral:ncRNA from 2 species